UACAGAGGCCCCAAGCGUUGUUCGGAUUCACUGGGCGUAAAGGGUGCGUAGGUGGUGAGGUAAGUCGGAUGUGAAAUCUCCGGGCUCAACCCGGAAACUGCAUUGGAAACUACCUUGCUUGAGGAUUUGAGGGGGGAUUGGAAUACUUGGUGUAGCAGUGAAAUGCGUAGAUAUCAAGUGGAACACCAGUGGCGAAGGCGAAUCCCUGGAAAAUACCUGACACUGAGGCACGAAAGCUAGGGGAGCAAACAGG
rnacentral:rRNA from 1 species